rnacentral:miRNA from 1 species
ACUCCUGCAGGAUUGCACAUUAGU